rnacentral:lncRNA from 1 species
UUUAUUUCUUGGUUUGAAUAUCAAAUUUAAGAUAGCAUAGUUUUACAGGUAAUAAUCUACCUCGUCGUUAGAUUGUAAAAUAGAGAUUAGUCAUCAGCAAAGUUGAUGGAUACUUCAAUUAGCUAUAUAUCUAUAAAAACUUCUAGAUGGUUGUAACACACACGCGGAAACUUUACUAGCGAGCACCUUCGGGUUCGAUCUUUUGGGGGUUUGACUCAUCUAAGGCGAGUAAUUGGUAAAAGUGUCAGAAUCAAGUGGGUGUAUGUCUAUGACAGACAAUAUGUGUGUGCACACGCGAGUGUGUAUGAUAUAUCUUGUAUGUUGUGUGUUAGAAGCCGCUGGUAAGGUCAGACAUUCCGAGUUCCAACCGACCACAUUGAUCUGAUUUGAGUUUAAAUUUAGAAUGAUUUAUGUUCAUUGAGGUCAGUUCUUCUUCUGAAUCUUGUAUGAAAUAUUCCAGGCACUCUAUACUUAAAUUUUCCAUUGUAUUAAAAACAACAGAACAAAACAUGAAAAUUAUUCAUUAUAGAAGCAUAAAAUGCUACAUUUUUCAAUUUUGUCAUAUAUUUUAUUCAUAGAAUGAUGUGUAUAUAUAUAUAUAUAUAUAUAUAUAUAUAUAUAUAUAUAUAUAUGAAGUAAAACAAGUUUGGUGUUUAGAUGACAUUUUUUUUUCAUUUCUCUAGAGUGAGAGCAUAGUUGCAUGCAUGCCCUAUUAUUUACAUGAUGGUGACAUCUUAAUUUUCAUGUGAGGUGAAAUUAGUUACCACACAGAUAUUGCAAUAGCCAACCGUACACAUGCUGGAAAAUGUUGGUCAUGCUUUGAUUGUUUUUCUAACUAAUUUAUAGAUUAUUGACCUUAGAGAGACAUGAAAAGGUGGAAGAGAAGAAUAGGUAAGUACAUAUGAUGGAAACAUGUGAUAAAGACUAGCUUGGAAAUUAAGCACAUUGGAUUGAAGCUAGCUGGAGCUGUCUAAAGUAAUUAUAAGGUGACUCUUGCGACAACAAUAAGGUUGAUCUGGCUUUAUUUACACAAUACUUAAAGUAGUGCAAAUGAUAUUUGAUUGUUGCAUUAUUUGGGGGUUUAAUUAGAACAAGAAGCUAUUGCAACUUACUUUCUUCGGUAUGAAAUGUAAACAAAACUUGACCAACUUAGAUAUGUUAUGAAAGAUGGUUGAUCAUAUUUAAUUUAUGCAAUUUCAAUUUCAAUAUUAAUAAUUAGGCUUAUUAUCUAUGUUAUCCUCCAUAACUAAGAGCCCGUUUGUUAUAGCUUUUUGUUAAGAAAAAAACUUUUUUUUUUAAUAAUCACUUCAAGAGUUUUGCAUCCGUUUGUUACAAUUUUUUGAAAAAAUCAGAAUCUACAAAAAAAUCUAUAAACAACUUCAAAUGAGAAGCUGUUAAGAGCAGCUUCUCAAAAAAUAGAUUUUGUUUAGAAGAGAG